rnacentral:rRNA from 1 species
UACGGGGGGGAGCAAGCGUUGUUCGGAUUUACUGGGCGUAAAGGGCGCGUAGGCGGUCAGCACAAGUCAGUUGUGAAAUCUCCGGGCUUAACCCGGAAAGGUCAGCCGAUACUGCGGGGCUAGAGUGCAGAAGGGGCAACUGGAAUUCUCGGUGUAGCGGUGAAAUGCGUAGAUAUCGAGAGGAACACCUGCGGCGAAGGCGGGUUGCUGGGCUGACACUGACGCUGAGGUGCGAAAGCGUGGGGAGCAAACAGG